AACGAACGCUGGCGGCAUGCCUAACACAUGCAAGUCGAACGAGACCUCCGGGUCUAGUGGCGCACGGGGGCGUAACGCGUGGGAACCUGCACUUAGGUUCGGAAUAACUCCCCGAAAGGGGUGCUAAUACCGGAUAAUGUCUUCGGACCAAAGAUUUAUCGCCCUUGGAUGGGCCCGCGUUGGAUUAGCUGGUUGGUAGGGUAAAAGCCUACCAAGGCGACGAUCCAUAGCUGGUCUGAGAGGAUGAUCAGCCACACUGGGACUGGGACACGGCCCAGACUCCUACGCGAGGCAGCAGUGGGUAAUAUUGGACAAUGGGCGGAGGCCUGAUCCAGCAAUGCCGCGUGAGUGAUGAAGGCCUUAGGGUUGUAAAGCUCUUUUACCCGGGAUGAUAAUGACGGUACCGGGAGAAUAAGCUCCGGCUAACUCCGUG
rnacentral:rRNA from 1 species